CGUAGGUGGCAAGCGUUACUCGGAAUCACUAGGCGUAAAGCGCAGGUAGGCGGUUGGAUAAGUCUGUUGUGAAAGCUCCCGGCUUAACUGGGAGAGGCCAACGGAAACUAUCCGGCUAGAGUGUGGUAGAGGUAGCUGGAAUUCCCGGUGUAGCGGUGAAAUGCGUAGAUAUCGGGAGGAAUACCUAUGGCGAAAGCAGGCUACUGGACCAUCACUGACGCUGAUCUGCGAAAGCUAGGGGAGCAAACAGGAUUAGAUACCCUGGUAGUCCUAGCCCUAAACGAUGCUCAUUAGGUGUGGGAGGUAUCGACCCCUUCCGCGCCGUAGCUAACGCAUUAAAUGAGCCGCCUGGGGAGUACGGCCGCAAGGUUG
rnacentral:rRNA from 1 species